UUUUUUGAGAGUUUGAUCCUGGCUCAGGAUGAACGCUGGCGGCGUGUCUAAGGCAUGCAAGUCGAUCGUGAACUUUACCUUCGGGUGAAGCCGAACGAGGCAAACGGGAGAGUAACACAUUGGUAACAUUCCUCGAAGUUGUGCAUAACCCGGAGAAAUUCGGGAUAAUUCACAAUGGAAAAGGGGGGACACAAGUCAUUCCCUUUUAAAGAUUUAUCGCUUCGAGAGUGGCCUAUGGCCUAUCAGCUUGUUGGUGAGGUAAUGGCUCACCAAGGCUACGACAGGUAUCGGGUGUGAGAGCAUGACCCGACUCACUGGGACUGAGACACUGCCCAGACUCCUACGGGAGGCUGCAGUCAAGAAUCUUCCACAAUGGCCGAAAGGCUGAUGGAGCGACGCCGCGUGUAUGAAGACGCCCCUCGGGGUGUAAAGUACUUUUCUCUGUGAAGAAACAAUGACGGUAACAGAGGAAUAAGGGGCUGCUAACCUCGUGCCAGCAGCAGCGGUAAUACGAGGGCCCCAAGCGUUAUCCGGAUUUAUUGGGCGUAAAGCGUGUGUAGGCGGUUUAUUUCAUCUCUUGUUAAAUCUGCGGGCUUAACCCGUAGGCCGCGAGAGAAAUGGGUAGACUGGAGUUCGGAAGAGGUAAGCGGAAUUGCUGGUGUAGGGGUUAAAUCCGUUAAUAUCAGCAGGAACACCAAAUGCGUAGGCAGCUUACUAGGACGAUACUGACGCUGAGACACGAAAGCGUGGGGAGCGAAUGGGAUUAGAUACCCCAGUAGUCCACGCCGUAAACGAUGAAUGCUAAUCAUUGGGAGUAUCGACCCUCCGCCUGGGGAGUACGGCCGCAAGGCUAAAACUCAAAGGAAUAGACGGGGACCCGCACAAGCGGUGGAGCAUGUGGUUUAAUUCGACGAUAAGCGAGGAACCUCACCAAGGUUUGACAUACGGCUGCAGAAUCCUGGAAACAGGAUAGCCUUCGAGGGUGCCGUACAGAUGCUGCAUGGUUGUCGUCAGCUCGUGUCGUGAGAUGUACCGUUAAGUCGGGAAACGAGCGCAACCCCUACCCUAUGUUUCAUGUGUCAUAGGGAACUGCCCGUUAUAAAUGGGAGGAAGGCGGGGAUGACGUCAAAUCAGCAUGGUUCUUACACCUUGGGCGACACACGUGCUACAAUGGGAAGUACAACGGGACGCCAAACAGUAAUGUGGAGCAAAUCCCUUAAAACUUUCCUUAGUUCGGAUUGAGGUCUGAAACUCGACCUCAUGAAGCUGGAAUCGCUAGUAAACGCGUAUCAGCCACGACGCGUUGAAUACGUUCUCGGGUCUUGUACUCACCGCCCGUCACGUCAAGGGAGUCGCUAACACCCAAAGGCCCAACCUAGUUGGGACUAAGGUGGGAGUGAUAACAGGGACGAAGUCGUAACAAGGCAUCCGUAGCGGAAGCUGUGGAUGGAUCACCUCCUUU
rfam:Parcubacteria (Falkowbacteria) bacterium GW2011_GWF2_39_8 TT64_C0001, whole genome shotgun sequence.